AUGGUGACAUUCAUUGCAGUGUAUGUAUAUGUGAGCCAAUAGUGCAAGCCUGAAAUGUACUGUACAGGGGAGGAAAACCUCCCUGUCCUCAUUGAGAUGCAUCUGAGAGUGUUGCUCUGCUGAAGGGGAAUCCCGGUUUCAAACGGAGGAAACCCUGGCUCAGCCUUACCUGCCAGAGGAGAAGGAGCUGAAACAGGUGGAAAACAGUGUGUGUGUAUAUUUAUAUAUAUAUGAGAGAGAAAUCAGGAAAAGGCCUCCAUUCUGGCUGUCCAGUAUUUUGGAAUGAAUGAAAACUUCUGAUUUAGUGCCAUGCCCAUUUGGGCAUUUUAUAGCCGGAGAUUGUUAUGAUGCUGGGCUGCUGCUUACAGCUCUGUGAUGGUGGAGCUUUCUUUGGGAGGAGGGAAGAUAUAUAUAAGUGGAACCCUCUGCUGCCUCUUUUCAAAAUGGUAAGCCCCCAACCCCUGGGCGCGUGCACACACACACACACACACACACACACACACACGAGCUAGGAUAAUACAUCAUCUUCCCCCAACCCUCACCCCCACAAAUAGAAGUUACUUAAGGCCUCAUUUUCCUCCCAUCCUCAACCCCACCCCCCACCAAUACUGCCGGACUCAUUCUCGGUGAUUACAAGUAUCUCUCCCAGAGCAAAUAAUUAUAGAAUUAAAACCCAAUCCUUUUGGUCCCUUAAUAGCUUUAGCCAAUCUGUCAGCGUCUGCCUCUGUGCGAUGGGGGAAGAAGAGGCAGGAGAGAGCUGUUAUGUAAGACCUCAGCGGCACGUGAACUCCCUUCCUCAUCACUAGUCACAUCCCUGAGAGAGCUUUCCUCUCCGGAACCUUCCAAACUACCCACCACCAUCAUCCAGCCGCAUGCCAAGGCAGGGCUUGAAGAUUCAAUUACGGAGGGAACUGGCCGGCCUGGUGUAGAUGGUGCUUUGCUUCCCCACAGACUUUACAGGCUUGCUGUCAUCUUCUCCAGCUGUGCUGGUGCCGCUGCAAUAUUCCAACAGCCUGCUGUAGGGUGUGGGGUGCUGGCUGUCUACUGCAAGAGGAAAGAGAAUCCAUUGGGACUCAUUUCAGAAAAAUGCAGGUUUGUGCAUAUCCCCACAACUACAGUCAGAAAGAAUUAAGAAGCGGCAAGUUUCACCUUCUUGAAAUGAGAAAUGAGAAACGCAAAAACUUGUUUAAAGGCCAUCUCUAAAAACGACAACUGAGAGUGACAACCAAGCUGGUAAGAUGAGACUUCUAACAAGACCAGUCUAUAUUGAUGAGCAGCAUGCACUAGACUUUCAAGCACUCUCAACAAUGCUUGAUGGCAAAUUAUAUCAUCCCUUGCCCACAUUAUUCUGCUGGAAAAUUCUCCUGUUCCCAGAAAGAAAUGCAAUUUGACAGAAAUGUACGAAUUAAAAGGAACAAAAUGUAAUUAAAAUGGCGAUAGCACAUAAUCUGGUAACCCA